ensembl:lncRNA
CGCCCUUCGGAAGGACCUUCGCCUGGGGCCUGGGGCCGCCGCGGCUCGCGGGACGGGGGCGUUUCCGCGUAGCCUCGGCCGGGAGCGGGCAAGUGGGAGAGAAGGGUCCACAGCGACGAAGGGGCAGGAUGUCGUAACCCCAGGAGGCCUCGUCCGUGGCCAGUGGCGUUUGCUCUUACCAAGCGCUCCACGACCUCGUCGGAGUUUUUGAAGAGGGCGAGCUAAGUUCUUCUUCCCUGAGCCGUGGACAAAACCCCGCCGGAGGCGUGGUGGUUGGUUGUCUCGGCCUGUUGCUGAUCGUUUGGCAGCUCCUUGCUCAGAGCUCUUGUGUAUCUUGGACAAAGCCUGAAGCCUUUGCACUCAACCAACUUUGCCGAAGUUCUUCGGUCUUUAGACCACUGUUCUUACCCCAAGUUUUACACUCGGAGAAAUCAAGGCAGGAGUGAACUUGGCCCUGUAGAGUGACUUCGUGCUUGAUCUGCAUUUUGUAACCAUCAGAGAAGAAGCAUGUAUGUGUUAGCGGAAGUUUGAGUGGAGAGAGGAAAGACUCUGCCGUGUUAGAGGCAUCAUUCAACUCCAGGAGUUACUGCCUUUACCGUUAGGCCGCAGUGUCCUAAGGGCGCAGCGCUGAGGAAGAGAGAAGUUGUGUGUUUGGGGCUUUCCGAGCUCUGGAAGGAAGGCAGACAUGUCUCUGGAUGACAUUAAGAUGAAAUCUUCUGACUUUCUGGAGAAGGAGGACCUGGAGAGCGGAGGCUUCGGAAAGGUGUCCUUGUGUUUUCACAAAUCCCACGGGCUUGUGAUUCUGAAGAAGGUGUACACGGGCCCCAAGCGCAAUGAGUACAACGAGUCCCUGCUGGAGGAGGGCAGGAUGAUGCACAGGCUGCGACACAGCCGUGUGGUGAGGCUGCUGGGCGUCGUCAUGGAGGAAGGGGACUACUCGCUGGUGAUAGAGUACAUGGCGAAGGGCGACCUCAUGCGGGUGCUCAAGGCCCAGACCCCCGUCCCUCUGUCUGUGAAGGGGAGGAUAGUCAUGGAGACCAUCGAAGGCAUGCGCUACCUGCACGGCGAGGGCGUCAUCCAUAAGGACCUCAAGCCCGAGAACAUCCUCGUUGACGACGACUUUCACAUCAAGAUCGCCGACCUCGGCGUGGCGUCCUUCAAGACGUGGAGCAAACUGACGAAGGAGGAGCAUAACGAGCAGCGGAAGGUGACCAGCACCGCCAAGAAAAACGGGGGCACCCUCCACUACAUGGCCCCCGAGCACCUGAACGACGUCAACGCCAGGCCCUCGGAGAAGUCGGACGUGUACAGCUUCGCCAUCGUGCUCUGGGCCAUAUUCGCCAAUAAGGAGCCCUACGAAAAUGCCAUCUGCGAGCAGCAGCUGAUCCUGUGCAUCAAGUCCGGGAACCGGCCGAGCGUGGACGACAUCGUCGAGUUCUGCCCGCGGGAGGUGGUCGGCCUCAUGAAGCAGUGCUGGGCGCUGAGUCCGGACGACAGGCCCACCUUUGCUGGCAUUGAAGAAAAAUAUAGGCCUUUUUAUUUAAGUCAAUUAGAAGGAAAUGUGGAAGAGGAUGUGAAGAAUUUAAAGAAGGAGUACCCGAGCCAGAACGCCGUCGUGAAGAGGAUGCAGUCUCUGCAGAUUGACUGUGUAGCCGUAGCUCCGAGCAGGUCCAAUUCAGCCCCAGAACAGCCAGGUUCGCUGCACAGCUCGCAGGGCUUCGGGAUGGGCCCCGUGGAGGAGUCCUGGUUUGCCCCCUCCGCGGAGCACCAGCACGAGGAGAACGAGCUCCACCUGCAGAGCAAACUCCAGGAGGAAGCCAACUACCAUCUUUUCGGCAGCCGCAUGGACAGGCGCACCAAGGAGCAGCCGGGUGGCAGCGCGGCCUACGGCGGGGAGGAGGAGAGGCGGCGCAGGGUCUCGCAUGACCCCUUCGCGCAGCAGAGGCCUCACGAGCCGGCCCAGAGCCCCGCGGUGAAAGGCCUCGCCUGUGCCGGUCCUGGUAGCGCCGCCCAGCACCCGGCGGGGCUGAGCAGCCACCCGCAGCCGCUGUACCAGAGCCAUGGGUCGCACAAGCCUCAGGGCCUGGGAGCAAGGCCCCUGGAUCUGGGAGCCGCAGAUCGAAGAGUUUGGUACAUGCCGAGUCAAGGCCACAGGCCAAGCCUGUAUAAGACGCCGGUGCCCGAGACCGACCUGCUGGGCAACACGCCCACCCUGCCCUUCGCCUCCCUGCCAUCAAGAGACGCGUCUCCCAGAUACAUCCUGUACGGCAACUCUGGCGUUCAGAUCGGAGACCACAACUACAUGGAGCUCGGCGGAGCGAGCGUCUCAGUCCUGGACAGCAUGUGCCCGCACGUGAAAGAAGAGCCCGCUUCUAAGUACCAGGCCAUCUUCGAGAACACCACCAGCCUGACGGAUAAACACCUGGACCCAGUCAGGGAAAAUCUGGGAAAGAACUGGAAAAUCUGUGCGCGGAAGCUGGGCCUCACCGAGUCUCAGAUCGACGAGAUCGACCACGACUACGAGCGGGACGGACUCAAAGAAAAGGUUUACCAGAUGCUGCAGAAGUGGCUGAUGAGGGAGGGCAGCAAGGGGGCCACGGUGGGGAAGCUGGCCCGGGCGCUCUACCAGUGCUCCCGGCUGGACCUCCUCAGCUGCCUGAUCCGCAGCAGCCAGAACUAGGCCCCCCGGGCCCNNNNNNNNNNNNNNNNNNNNNNNNNNNNNNNNNNNNNNNNNNNNNNNNNNNNNNNNCCCCCGCACUCAGGGCCCCCGUGUCUGCGCGGAGCGGUGUCUGCAUCGCACGGCGGGGAGCGGGCGGCCGGGGCGCAAACAACACUAGAAGGAAGGUCCGGCCACGGCCCCGUCGAGAAGAAGCCUCACCGGGUUUUGAAAAGGAGCGAAGCCAUCUUCCGGGUCGUUUGCCUUCAGAUGGUUCCGUAACCUGCAGUUAUGCUGCUCAUUUAGUUCUUGGGGUCUUAUUUGAACAAGAAAAAAAUUCAGAGGACCCGAAGCACGUCGCCUUUCUCACUUUGCACCCUCCUCUCCACGCGGACUCCUGUUAAAACCAAAGUACUGUAAAAUCCUCAGUUCUCCUCAAGUGCGAGGUCUGGCACCACAGCCACGGUUCCCUCUAAAGUGUCUGUUAACUCGAGGAUCAAAUUCUGCAUCAGUCACCACAGGCUUUAAGAAGUACAUGCAGUCGCAGUUCCUUGUGGCUCGGCGGUAAUGAACCCGACCCGUGUUCAUGAGGAAGCGGGUUCGAUCCUGGCCUUGCUUAGUGGGUUGAGGAUCUGGUGUCAGCGUGAGCUGUGCUAUGGGUCGCAGGUUUGGCUUGGAUCCCAUGUUGCUGGGGCUGUGGUGUAGGCCGUCAGCUGCAGUUCCACAGCUCUGAUUCGACCCUUAGCCUGGAAACUUCCAUGUGCCGCAGGUGCGGCCCU